rnacentral:rRNA from 1 species
UUACUGCGGAGGACAUUACACAAAUAUGAAGGCGGGCUGGAACCUCUCGGGGUUACAGCCUUGCUGAAUUAUUCACCCUUGUCUUUUGCGUACUUCUUGUUUCCUUGGUGGGUUCGCCCACCACUAGGACAAACAUAAACCUUUUGUAAUUGCAAUCAGCGUCAGUAACAAAUUAAUAAUUACAACUUUCAACAACGGAUCUCUUGGUUCUGGCAUCGAUGAAGAACGCAGCGAAAUGCGAUAAGUAGUGUGAAUUGCAGAAUUCAGUGAAUCAUCGAAUCUUUGAACGCACAUUGCGCCCUUUGGUAUUCCAAAGGGCAUGCCUGUUCGAGCGUCAUUUGUACCCUCAAGCUUUGCUUGGUGUUGGGCGUCUUGUCUCUAGCUUUGCUGGAGACUCGCCUUAAAGUAAUUGGCAGCCGGCCUACUGGUUUCGGAGCGCAGCACAAGUCGCACUCUCUAUCAGCAAAGGUCUAGCAUCCAUUAAGCCUUUUUUUCAACUUUUGACCUCGGAUCAGGUAGGGAUACCCGCUGAACUUAAGCAUAUCAAAAGGGGGGAAAGAA